rnacentral:rRNA from 1 species
UCAGCAAUAAUUUAUUCGGUGGAUGAAGUAAUUCUGAGAUGGAUAACCGUGGUAAAGCUAGAGCUAAUACAUGCAGAAGAGAGUUCACGGGAAGUGAAGGUAUAUAUUAGAUACAAAACCAAAGAGAGAGGGGAGUGAUAAUAUUUGGAACAGAUCACGAGGGAGUGACGAGCCGAUCAAAUUUCUGCCCUAUCAACUUUGGACGGUAGUAUAGAGGACAACCGUGGUGAUAACGGGUAACGGAGGAUUAGGGUUCGACACCGGAGAGGGAGCCUGAGAAACGGCUACCACUUCUACGGAAGGCAGCAGGCGCGUAAAUUACCCAAUCCUAAUUCAGGGAGGUAGUGACAAGAAAUAAUAGACCGGCGUAAGCCGGGUUUACAAUGAGCCUAAUUUACACAGCUUAGUGAGGAUCCAUUGGAGGG